GCGGAUUGAAGGGGGGAGAUCUCUCUAAAUCCGGGCGAAAUGGGGGGUCGCCGUCGCCGGCGACGGCGAGGGGGACUCGGUGGUGGCGGGGAGGAGGCGGUGGCGGCAGAGCGGGCAGGUGGCGUGGUCGUAGUCGAGCCACUUCUCGAGGCAGGCGCGGUGGAAGAGGUGGCCGCAGGGGAGGCGGUUCACCACCGACUCCGGCUCGAACCGCGCGAGGCAGACGCGGCAGUCGGCCGCGCCCGCGCCCCCGCCUCGCCGCCGCCCGAACCUCGCCGGCCUGAACCUGCUCCGGAACCUGUCCGCCAGGCUCGGGCCCCCCGCCGCCGCGGCCGCGGCCGCGGCGGCCGCCGCGAUCGCCGCCAGCUGGUCGUCGCCGUCCUCCCACGCCGAGGGCGGCACGGGGAGGCCGAGGAACACCAGCGCCGCCCGCACCAUGUCCGCCAGGAUGGCGAUCGACACCGCCGUGUUGUACAGCAGGUACGCCACCACGCUGUCCUUGGGCGCCGGCAUG
rnacentral:lncRNA from 1 species